CCUACGGGCGGCUGCAGUGAGGAAUAUUGGUCAAUGGACGAGAGUCUGAACCAGCCAAGUAGCGUGAAGGAUGACUGCCCUAUGGGUUGUAAACUUCUUUUAUAAAGGAAUAAAACGAGGCACGUGUGCCUUUUUGCAUGUACUUUAUGAAUAAGGAUCGGCUAACUCCGUUCCAGCAGCCGCGGUAAUACGGAGGAUCCGAGCGUUAUCCGGAUUGAUUGGGUUUAAAGGGAGCGUAGAUGGGUUGUUAAGUCAGUUGUGAAAGUUUGCGGCUCAACCGUAAAAUUGCAAGUGAUACUGGCAGUCUUGAGUACAGUUGAGGUAGGCGGAAUUCGUGGUGUAGCGGUGAAAUGCUUAGAUAUCACGAAGAACCCCGAUUGCGAAGGCAGCUUACUAAACUGUGACUGACAUUGAUGCUCGAAAGUGUGGGUAUCAAACAGGAUUAGAUACCCUUGUAGUC
rnacentral:rRNA from 1 species